rfam:Planctomycetes bacterium RBG_16_55_9 RBG_16_scaffold_5869, whole genome shotgun sequence.
CAGUUGAGAGAGCCGCACUGCGGUUCGUUGGAUUUCGUCCACUCGGCUG